UGCCAGAUCGUCUAAUGGUAGGACAUAAGACUCUGAAUCUUAUUAUCUUGGUUCGAAUCCAAGUCUGGCAACCA
rnacentral:tRNA from 1 species